UUGGCAGAGGGGGGUGGAAUUCCACGUGUAGCAGUGAAAUGGAGAGAUGUGGAGGAACACCAAUGGCGAAGGCAGCCCCCUGGGUCGAUACUGACGCUCAUGCACGAAAGCGUGGGUAGCAAACAGGAUUAGAUACCCUGGUAGUCCACGCCCUAAACGAUGUCAACUAGGUGUUGGGAGGGUAAAACCUUUUAGUGCCGUAGCUAACG
rnacentral:rRNA from 1 species